rnacentral:rRNA from 1 species
UACGGAGGGUGCUAGCGUUGUUCGGAAUUACUGGGCGUAAAGCGGGUGUAGGCGGAUUGCUAAGUCGGGGGUGAAAGCCCAGGGCUCAACCCUGGAAUUGCCUUCGAUACUGGCAGUCUCGAGUGCAGGAGAGGUGGGCGGAAUUCCGAGUGUAGAGGUGAAAUUCGUAGAUAUUCGGAGGAACACCAGAGGCGAAGGCGGCUCACUGGACUGUUACUGACGCUGGGACCCGAAAGCGUGGGGAGCAAACAGG